AGCGGGGUAGGGUAGCCAGGAAUCCCGCCGGGCUCAUAACCCGGAGAACGGUGGUUCAAAUCCACCCCCCGCUA
rnacentral:tRNA from 1 species